rnacentral:rRNA from 1 species
CCAGACUCCUACGGGAGGCAGCAGUGGGGAAUAUUGCACAAUGGGCGGAAGCCUGAUGCAGCAACGCCGCGUGCGGGAUGACGGCCUUCGGGUUGUAGACCGCUUUCGCCUGUGACGAAGCGUGAGUGACGGUAAUGGGUAAAGAAGCACCGGCUAACUACGUGCCAGCAGCCGCGGUGAUACGUAGGGUGCGAGCGUUGUCCGGAUUUAUUGGGCGUAAAGGGCUCGUAGGUGGUUGAUCGCGUCGGAAGUGUAAUCUUGGGGCUUAACCCUGAGCGUGCUUUCGAUACGGGUUGACUUGAGGAAGGUAGGGGAGAAUGGAAUUCCUGGUGGAGCGGUGGAAUGCGCAGAUAUCAGGAGGAACACCAGUGGCGAAGGCGGUUCUCUGGGCCUUUCCUGACGCUGAGGAGCGAAAGCGUGGGGAGCGAACAGGCUUAGAUACCCUGGUAGUCCACGCUGUAAACGGUGGGUACUAGGUGUGGGGUCCAUUCCACGGGUUCCGUGCCGUAGCUAACGCUUUAAGUACCCCGCCUGGGGAGUACGGCCGCAAGGCUAAAACUCAAAGGAAUUGACGGGGGCCCGCACAAG